AAACAUAACAUAGAGAGUCCUGCCUGCCCAGUGACAAAAAGUUAAACGGCCGCGGUAUCUUGACCGUGCGAAGGUAGCAUAAUCACUUGUCUCCUAAAUAGAGACUGGUAUGAAUGGCAAGACGGAACUUAACUGUCUCCUUUUCUUGUAUCUUAAUUUCACUUUCCCGUGAAGAGGCGGGAAGAUAUUCGCUAGACGAGAAGACCCUGUCGAGCUUAAGCAAAAUACUAAUUUCUAAUUCCUUUUAAUUGUAUUCUAAUCUUUUUCACUAAAUGCAAUUAAGAGUAAAUUAUUAGUACAAGCUUUGGUUGGGGCAACCGCGGAGAAGAAAAACCCUCCGCUUACAAUAGAUAAAAAUGAGACCCUACAAGUCUAAUAUUGUACAAACAAGUCAACUGAUCCACCACGGUGAUCAAAGGAAAAAGUUACCGCAGGGAUAACAGCGUUAUCUUUUCUGAGAGUUCACAUUGACGAAAAGGUUUGCGACCUCGAUGUUGGAUCGGGACAUCCUAAGGGUGCAGAAGCUUUUAAGGGUUGGUCUGUUCGACCAUUAAAGUCCU
rnacentral:rRNA from 1 species